rnacentral:rRNA from 1 species
UACGUAGGGGGCAAGCGUUGUCCGGAUUCAUUGGGCGUAAAGAGCGUGUAGGCGGCCAGGUAGGUCGGUUGUGAAAACUGGAGGCUCAACCUUCAGAGGUCGACCGAAACCAUCUGGCUAGAGUCCGGGAGAGGAGAGUGGAAUUCCUGGUGUAGCGGUGAAAUGCGCAGAUAUCAGGAAGAACACCCGUGGCGAAAGCGGCUCUCUGGAACGGUACGGACGCUGAGACGCGAAAGCGUGGGGAGCGAACAGG